GACGAACCGUGCGAACGUUAUUCGGAAUUACUGGGCGUAAAGCGCACGUAGGCGGAUACUUAAGUCAGGGGUGAAAUCCCGGGGCUCAACCCCGGAACUGCCUUUGAUACUGGGUAUCUCGAGUCCGGAAGAGGUGAGUGGAAUUCCGAGUGUAGAGGUGAAAUUCGUAGAUAUUCGGAGGAACACCAGUGGCGAAGGCGGCUCACUGGUCCGGUACUGACGCUGAGGUGCGAAAGCGUGGGGAGCAAACAGG
rnacentral:rRNA from 1 species